GACGUAGGGCGCGAGCGUUGUCCGGAUUUAUUGGGCGUAAAGAGCUCGUAGGCGGCUUGUUGCGUCGACCGUGAAAACCCGCGGCUUAACUGUGGGCUUGCGGUCGAUACGGGCGGGCUGGAGUUCGGUAGGGGAGACUGGAAUUCCUGGUGUAGCGGUGAAAUGCGCAGAUAUCGUAAGGAAGACCAGUGGCGAAGGCGGGUCUCUGGACAGUUCCUGACGCUGAGGCACGAAGGCCAGGGGAGCAAACGGG
rnacentral:rRNA from 1 species